UUUCCGUAGGUGAACCUGCGGAAGGAUCAUUGUCGAAACCUGCCCAGCAGAACGACCCGCGAACUUGUAUAAACAACUGGGGGCGGGGGGCGUUCUCGCCCCGUGCCCCCGAACGGCGAGGAGACACUCGUGCCUUCUUGCCGAACAACGAACCCCGGUGCGGUCUGCGCCAAGGAACUUCAACUAAAGAGUGCCUCCGGUCGCCUCGGAAACGGCGUGCGUGCCGGAGGCGAAUCUUGUGCAAAACCAUAACGACUCUCGGCAACGGAUAUCUCGGCUCUC
rnacentral:misc_RNA from 1 species